AAAAAUUCAAGAUGAGGACUGUAUUUGUGGUAGCUUUUGUCAUUGCAAAUUUUUCCGUUUUGGUAUCUGAAGCCGGAGUUUCACCUCUUCACAAAUGUCCACCAGGUUAUGUUGGUGUAGGAACUUGUUUGCCACCAUUUGAAAAUUGUGACGUUGGUUUCUGUUACAUAGAAGAUAAAUUAAGCUUAAUACUGGGACAAUCAGGUGUAUGCUGUCUUAGACUUGGAUACUACAGGAAAUAAUUAUCCACUACUACAGCAUCUACAUUAAAAGAAUGUUCCUUU
rnacentral:sRNA from 1 species